UGGGGAAUAUUGGACAAUGGGCGAAAGCCUGAUCCAGCCAUGCCGCGUGUGUGAAGAAGGUCUUCGGAUUGUAAAGCACUUUAAGUUGGGAGGAAGGGCAUUAACCUAAUACGUUAGUGUUUUGACGUUACCGACAGAAUAAGCACCGGCUAACUCUGUGCCAGCAGCCGCGGUAAUACAGAGGGUGCAAGCGUUAAUCGGAAUUACUGGGCGUAAAGCGCGCGUAGGUGGUUUGUUAAGUUGGAUGUGAAAGCCCCGGGCUCAACCUGGGAACUGCAUCCAAAACUGACAAGCUAGAGUACGGUAGAGGGUGGUGGAAUUUCCUGUGUAGCGGUGAAAUGCGUAGAUAUAGGAAGGAACACCAGUGGCGAAGGCGACCACCUGGACUGAUACUGACACUGAGGUGCGAAAGCGUGGGGAGCAAACA
rnacentral:rRNA from 1 species